GUGCGACGCCGCAUGGCGUUUCCUCCCUAGACUUCGGGCCGCUCCUUCGGGAGUGGCCUUCUUUCUUUGGAGC
rnacentral:sRNA from 1 species